rnacentral:rRNA from 1 species
UACGUAGGGUGCGAGCGUUGUCCGGAAUUAUUGGGCGUAAAGAGCUCGUAGGCGGUGUGUCACGUCGGCCGUGAAAACCUGGGGCUUAACUCUGGGCGUGCGGUCGAUACGGGCAUCACUAGAGUUCGGCAGGGGAGACUGGAAUUCCUGGUGUAGCGGUGAAAUGCGCAGAUAUCGGGAGGAACAUCAGUGGCGAAGGCGGCUGCCUGGCCCAAUACUGACACUCAGGUGCGACAGCGUGGGGAGCAAACAGG